CAUGAAAAGGCGUUUAUAAUAAAUAAAUAUAAUUGCAGAGGACGGAGGAAAACUAUCAAUGCGCCGCACGAGCUGGAAAUCAAGUGGGAUUUGUGUUGCUAUCGUGAAGAGUUGCGUAAUAUUUUUCCCAAUGGUGAUUCCAAGGGGAGUUGCCUCAUUUACUGUUUUAAAGUUGGAAGGACCAAUUACUUACAUUUUCUUGCCACCUCUAGCUUCGCAAAAAGACGCGAAUGCGAAAGAUUUUCCACAUCAAUAAGCGCGUGCAGAGUUUGGGUGAACGUGAUACCCAGAAUGUGCUGUGUCGUUUGGAGCACACUACCUUGCGGAAGGUAACGGCCAACACUGCUAUUUAUACGCAGAGGACUGUCAUCCCGGAAGAUCGAGAAUACGUAAAUGUCUACUAUGAGGUGAGGGGCAAGAAUUCGUAAACGUCUUCUAUGAGAAGCCCGAUUUCAAUCCAACACGCAUUUCGCCAUGGUUACUGCCAUGUAUUCCAUGUGAUGGGCAUUGAGCUAUCGUCAUUUGGCCUUGUUAUGAGGUAAUGACAGCUUAAUCAAUACAAGUAUAAAGACGAUACAAGUAUUUUGAUUGGUAAAAUUUUAGAAAUUUUGCUUCAUUCCCAUACCACCGUUGACAAAUAAGCAACUUUCUGGACGUUACGAAGAACAAUUUUUGGAGCAUCAACCGUCAAAAGCAACAACGCUAUUGGAAAGUAAUGGGCUCGUCGGUGGUAUUUUCAAUGUUAUUGGGCUACCAUUUGGCGACCAGCCUAAAUUGGAUUGGAUGUCAUUCUCGGAUUGUUUGUAUAUCUACAGAUGCCCCCUCAAUCGUUUCGCUGACAUUCUCUCAACACACAAAGCUGCAAUGCAAAGAAUGCGAACGUUUAACCUCUGAGCAAAAGAUGAGCAAUGUCCAAAUGACAUAAGUGAAUCGUCGCACCGAUGUUAUUUCCUAUGAUGUAAUGGCUUAAAUGUCGCAUUUUGAUACACAUAUGAAACAGGCACAUAAAUUUAUGGUCGAGUUUUUGGCAAAAAACCCGCGCAGAACUAAUGUAGUAUGACAUGAUGCAUUAUCGUGAUGAAGGAACUAAACCAUAUUUUUUAUGCAUAUAGAUUUAUAAAUAUCGUAUAAGUAAUUGUUUAUAAGAUUAGAGGUUAGAUGUGCUUUACUUGAUUACUCAUAAAGUGUUAAUAUCUAUAUUUAAACUUUUUAAGGUAUUAAUUAAUUUUAAUAUUUAGUUUAAGUAAAUACGUUUUUAUAUUUAAAUAAAACGAAACAAUAGAAAAAAUACAGUAUUUUAUUUAAAAGAAUUGGAAUUGAAUUAUGGUAACAAAAAGAUAACCGAUACGCUAACAUAUGAAUUUAACAAAUGGGUAACAAAUAAAAUAACAUUGAGGAAAAUCAAGGUAAUAGAUAUAGCUAAGAAAUAGGUAACAAAUACCCUAACAUGUUUACAUGUUAAAGGUAACAAACUGCUAACCAAAACAAUAGCACUAACAGAAAUUUGGGUAACAAAUACUUUUGAUAUAGAUAACACCUAAGUAACCUAUUCACUAACCAAAGUAUUUGUUACCUUUAACAGACUGUAACAUUGCCAUAAUUGCCGUUGGAUAGAUCGAGAAAGCCAUUGAACAUCAAAUGGCGAUGUGUUACUUUUUUCCAACUCUCUGAACAAAAGUAACAAAUAGUUGAAAGUAUCGAGUAUAAGUGAACAAUAACCAGUCGUUAGCACGUUUACUAAUAGAUGCCCGUUUUGCAUAGUUUGUUUUCAAUUCCCCAAUGUUGCCAUUGCUCAAUUUAUAUACAUGAUUUUGCGUACAUCUAGCUUUUCAGUUAUAAUUUUUCAUAAUGUUAAAGAUCAAAACUAAAAUCCAACUAUUUAAAAUAGUCUAUCUAUUUAUAUAUAAUUGUAUUUGACUGUGAUUUUGAGUUAGUUUAAGA